rnacentral:rRNA from 1 species
AGCGAACGCUGGCGGCAGGCUUAACACAUGCAAGUCGAGCGGGCACUUUCGGGUGUCCGCGGCGGACGGGUGAGUAACGCGUGGGAACGUGCCCUCUGGUUCGGAAUAACUCAGGGAAACUUGAGCUAAUACCGGAUACUCCCUCUUGGGGAAAGGCUUGCUGCCGGAGGAUCGGCCCGCGUCGGAUUAGCUAGUUGGUGAGGUAACGGCUCACCAAGGCGACGAUCAGUAGCUGGUCUGAGAGGAUGAUCAGCCACACUGGGACUGAGACACGGCCCAGACUACUAGGGGAAGGAGGAGUGGGGAAUAUUGGACUGUGGGCGCAAGGCUGAUGCAGCCAUGCCGCGUGAGUAAUGAAGGCCUUAGGGUUGUAAAGCUCUUUUAUCCGGGACGAUAAUGACGGUACCGGAGGAAUAAGCCCCGGCUAACUUCGUG